UACGUAGGAGACGAGCGUUGUCCGGAGUUACUGGGCGUAAAGGGUGCGCAGGUGGCGGCGCGCGUGGGGGGUGAAAUCGCCCGGCUUAACUGGGCGGGGGCCUUCCAGACGGCGUGGCUUGAGCAGCGGAGGGGGACGUGGAAUUCCGGGUGGAGCGGCGAAAUGCGUAGAGAUUCGGAAGAACACCGGUGGCGAAGGCGGCCUGCUGGGCAGUAGCCGAAAGGCUUGAAAGCUGACGCUGAGGCGCGACAGCGUGGGGAGCAAACAGG
rnacentral:rRNA from 1 species